rnacentral:lncRNA from 1 species
UUGAGGGCAUCAUAUCAAACUAACCCAGAAGAAAUCAUUCAAUAGAAAAUGGCUGCUCAGUCCGCUGCAUCCUAAACAUCCUGGCAAACUGAAAAGGACAAUCAAGGUUGUGCAGAUAACACCAUUUAAACCACAAAAGCAACUAGUUCUAUGCUUGGUCACAAAGAAAAUAGAAUACAAAAGGAGAAUUGGGGAUUUUACAGCACCCCCAAACCCAAUCUGUCAUAAGCUUUCAGGUUCUCAUUCCUCAUCUGGGAAAUCCAUUCCCUCAUCAUCCAACAAUUGCAGUUUCAUGUACUAGUCCUAGUUUUUCCCAUAUUGCAUAAAAAGAAACUGCAUGUACUCACAAAAACAUAUGACAACAAAUGUCAGUUACAUCUAUGGAUCAGAAAGAAAAGAUACAUUCAAUCCAGUCAAAGACUGCAGUUGAGAAACAAUAUGUAAGAUUUUCAUUUGGUUGAACACAGAUUUUUUUGUAAGAUGAUGUGCUUAAAUUUACAAGUACCACACAGAAAGAAUGAACGUAAGACUGAUUCUCAGACAAUUUAACACAUGGUGACAAAAAUUAUUAGAACUGACUUGGUUUCUUCAUCCUCAGUCUUUAUCCUCCUGUCUCCAUUUACUAGGACUACAUUUCUGCAAGCCAGUUCUAUUCCUGACAGGAAUUAACCAAACUGAGUAACAAGGUAAAGCAAUCUGUGCAUACCCAUUAAAGAACACAGCUAGUUUAAAUGCUAAAUAUGGGUGAUUAAGGAGCCGAGUUAUAGAAACUGCUGUACAUACCCAUUAAAGAUCAGAAAACAAUUGAAAAUGGGAAAUAAAAUUAGUAUUCAAUAUCAACUACCCAAAACAAAAAGUUAACCAAACUGGGAAAGAACAAUACAAGGAAACCCAAAUUCCUUUUCUCAUUGUUAGCUAGCAGGCAUAUCAAAUUAUAGGAAAUUGAAAUCAAUAAUCCAAGCUAGAUUCUAUACACAAACUGCAAACCUCCAUGAAUCCCAUACCAUAAAUGGCUUCUACAUUCUGGGUGUGCUUAUUCACCAAUAUCAUGAGUGGAGGGAUUUUUAAAAUCAAAAUCUUGUGUAAUGAUCUAUUUGCUUAAUGGGUAGAACUGAAGCUUGAGUUCUACUACUUUCACCACAAUUCUACAUAAUGCCCACAGCAGCAGAGAACUGAACUAGAUAUUUAGGCUGAACCAGAG